rnacentral:lncRNA from 1 species
GGGAAGUCGCCAAGACGUUCACAUUGUUCACGUUGAAACCCAUGCAAGCCGACGUGUCGGGGCAUCACAGAUCUCUUGCAGAACGCAGUAUCAUCGUAUGGUUUGCCUCCAUUCAAGGGCUGAAGAUCAUUAAGGGAUCGCCCCGUCAAAGUGAAACUUACACUGCAGGACUCGAGCUUCAGUGUUAACAAAAGUCAGGCAAACCUGCCUUUUCUUCAGGAUGUGCAGGGAACUCAUUGGAGGGAUAGUAGCCUUGCUGGUUGUUCAAAUCGGUGCGCCCGCAGUAGGAUGUACGGCGUACGGUAUACAACCGGGCUCCUUAGCGGAUACACUGAUGAAGUUUUCCGACAUCAUAAACGGGAUAAGUUUCGGAUGGUCGUUAUGGAUUGCUGAAGCACUUGGAGCUGCAUGCCGGUCCAUAGCAUCUGAAGGCUUUACUGUUAAGAGUGGCUUGGUAGUUUUCGUUGCUGGUUGUAUGAUCUUCGCAGCAAUAAAAAAAUUCUUCCAAUGUCUCGGAAUAAUCGAGAAGUAAUUAUCCACGGGAGUUUUUAUAAACCUAGAAAGCCUUAAAAUAGAUUUUCUUUCACGUUUAAAAAAGCUUAUUUUAGGUCGAAAAGUACAGGUGGUAAAAAUAUGAUACAUUUUUCAUAAGUCGGCAAUUAAAUUUCAAAUGCUUUCCGGUGAAUCGAGAAAAAAAGUUACAUUUUCCGACGACGCGCCUUUCAAUAAGGGGUCUCCUUUUCCAGGGGAACAAUUUCUAUAAAUAUGUAUCUUUAUCUCAUAAUGACUGCUAACUGGCACUGAUAUGGAUAUUGAUUAGUACAUAGCUGUGGGUGUUCCAUGCACAUGGAGCUGCGCUGUAAGCAGUAAGCCAUAGCCUUUUGGUCAUAUGCAGUACUGUAGCCGCAUUUACGUUGAGCCUCGCUUCGAACGUCGAUCUUCUGCAGUGUUGUAUCCAACUCGUACUUGUCGAAAAAAAAGAGCGGGGAAAAACGGCGGUUGUUUAAACGCUGAUUUUCUGUUGAAGAUGCAUGAUCGGAUAUUUCAAGGUGAUGGUUCAUCCAUUUUUUAAAAUUCUGAAUGCUAUACAAUUAGUUUGUUUUGAUUUGCUUCCAUACAAUUUACCACAAGCCUGAGUAGUAUUUGUAGAGGUUAGUCCUUUUUUUUAUAGUUAUGUUCUUACGUAUAUUUUGCUAAGCAUAAACAUAGGUCUUAAAUGAGUAAAUAACAGUUUCAAACAUGUUACAUUUAA